CGGCCCGCCAGAGGACCCCAAACUCUUGUUUUAUACAGUAUCUUCUGAGUAACACGAUUAAAUAA
rnacentral:rRNA from 1 species